CAGAAAGUUAGUCUAACCAAGAUA
rnacentral:tRNA from 2 species